rnacentral:rRNA from 1 species
AGGUGGCAUCAUACCAGCAUUAAUGCACUGGAUCCCAUCAGAACUUCGCAGUUAAGUGUGCUUGGGCUAGAGUAGUACUGGGAUGGGUGACCUCCCAGGAAUUCCUAGUGUUACACCCU